CCCCCAGUAACUGCGAGUGAAGAGGGAAGAGCUCAUCAUUGGAAUCUGGCAGUGUUGCACUGUCCGAGUUGUAGAUGAGGAGUAGUUCAUCUGGACUGCAUGGCGUCCAAGUACAAUAGGCCGUCAGUGGGACAUCAUAGAGGGUGACAAUCCCGUCCUUGAUGCCAAUGUGCAAGUUCGUUACGAUGACUAUCUCAGAGAGUCGAGCAGUUUGGGAUUUGCUGCUUAAACAUGGGAGGUAGAUUCCUUCUAAAGCUAAAUACAGGCGAGAGACCGAUAGAGAACAAGUACCGCAAGGGAAAGAUGAAAUAGCACUCUGUGAAGGGAGUCAAAAGGCGUGAAAUUGUUGCGAGAGAAGCGAUUCAAGUCAGCGUAGCUAGGCCCAUCAAGCCUAUUUGCUUUGGACUAGCUUUGCCAGCGGUCUUGUCCCNUAGAGACUUGACUCGUAAAUGUCCAGCCUGGUAUGCACAGGUAGCCCCC
rnacentral:rRNA from 1 species